rnacentral:rRNA from 1 species
CCGGCUCAGGACGAACGCUGGCGGCGCGCCUAACACAUGCAAGUCGAACGAGAGAUGAGGAGCUUGCUCUUCAAAUCGAGUGGCGAACGGGUGAGUAACGCGUGAGGAACCUGCCUCAAAGAGGGGGACAACAGUUGGAAACGACUGCUAAUACCGCAUAAGCCCACGGCUCGGCAUCGAGCAGAGGGAAAAGGAGCAAUCCGCUUUGAGAUGGCCUCGCGUCCGAUUAGCUAGUUGGUGAGGUAACGGCCCACCAAGGCGACGAUCGGUAGCCGGACUGAGAGGUUGAACGGCCACAUUGGGACUGAGACACGGCCCAGACUCCUACGGGAGGCAGCAGUGGGGAAUAUUGCACAAUGGGGGAAACCCUGAUGCAGCGACGCCGCGUGGAGGAAGAAGGUCUUCGGAUUGUAAACUCCUGUUGUUGAGGAAGAUAAUGACGGUACUCAACAAGGAAGUGACGGCUAACUACGUGCCAGCAGCCGCGGUAAAACGUAGGUCACAAGCGUUGUCCGGAAUUACUGGGUGUAAAGGGAGCGCAGGCGGGAAGACAAGUUGGAAGUGAAAUCUAUGGGCUCAACCCAUAAACUGCUUUCAAAACUGUUUUUCUUGAGUAGUGCAGAGGUAGGCGGAAUUCCCGGUGUAGCGGUGGAAUGCGUAGAUAUCGGGAGGAACACCAGUGGCGAAGGCGGCCUACUGGGCACCAACUGACGCUGAGGCUCGAAAGUGUGGGUAGCAAACAGGAUUAGAUACCCUGGUAGUCCACACCGUAAACGAUGAUUACUAGGUGUUGGAGGAUUGACCCCUUCAGUGCCGCAGUUAACACAAUAAGUAAUCCACCUGGGGAGUACGACCGCAAGGUUGAAACUCAAAGGAAUUGACGGGGGCCCGCACAAGCAGUGGAGUAUGUGGUUUAAUUCGACGCAACGCGAAGAACCUUACCAAGUCUUGACAUCCCUUGACAGGCAUAGAAAUAUGUUUUCUCUUCGGAGCAAGGAGACAGGUGGUGCAUGGUUGUCGUCAGCUCGUGUCGUGAGAUGUUGGGUUAAGUCCCGCAACGAGCGCAACCCUUAUGGUCAGUUACUACGUAAGAGGACUCUGGCCAGACUGCCGUUGACAAAACGGAGGAAGGUGGGGAUGACGUCAAAUCAUCAUGCCCUUUAUGACUUGGGCUACACACGUACUACAAUGGCGUUAAACAAAGAGAAGCAAGACCGCGAGGUGGAGCAAAACUCAGAAACAACGUCCCAGUUCGGACUGCAGGCUGCAACUCGCCUGCACGAAGUCGGAAUUGCUAGUAAUCGUGGAUCAGCAUGCCACGGUGAAUACGUUCCCGGGCCUUGUACACACCGCC